CCUACGGGUGGCAGCAGUGAGGAAUAUUGGUCAAUGGACGAGAGUCUGAACCAGCCAAGUAGCGUGAAGGAUGACUGCCCUAUGGGUUGUAAACUUCUUUUAUAUGGGAAUAAAAUGUUCCACGUGUGGGAUUUUGUAUGUACCAUAUGAAUAAGGAUCGGCUAACUCCGUGCCAGCAGCCGCGGUAAUACGGAGGAUCCGAGCGUUAUCCGGAUUUAUUGGGUUUAAAGGGAGCGUAGGUGGAUUGUUAAGUCAGUUGUGAAAGUUUGCGGCUCAACCGUAGAAUUGCAGUUGAAACUGGCAGUCUUGAGUACAGUAGAGGUGGGCGGAAUUCGUGGUGUAGCGGUGAAAUGCUUAGAUAUCACGAAGAACUCCGAUUGCGAAGGCAGUUCACUGGACUGCAACUGACACUGAGGCUCGAAAGUGUGGGUAUCAAACAGGAUUAGAUACCCGUGUAGUC
rnacentral:rRNA from 1 species